CCUACGGGAGGCAGCAGUGGGGAAUAUUGGACAAUGUGGGCAACCCUGAUCCAGCCAUGCCGCGUGUGUGAAGAAGGCCCUCGGGUUGUAAAGCACUUUCAGUGAGGAAGAACGCCUGGUGGUUAAUACCCAUCAGGAAAGACAUCACUCACAGAAGAAGCACCGGCUAACUCCGUGCCAGCAGCCGCGGUAAUACGGAGGGUGCGAGCGUUAAUCGGAAUUACUGGGCGUAAAGCGCGCGUAGGUGGCUUGAUAAGCCGGUUGUGAAAGCCCCGGGCUCAACCUGGGAACGGCAUCCGGAACUGUCAAGCUAGAGUGCAGGAGAGGAAGGUAGAAUUCCCGGUGUAGCGGUGAAAUGCGUAGAGAUCGGGAGGAAUACCAGUGGCGAAGGCGGCCUUCUGGACUGACACUGACACUGAGGUGCGAAAGCGUGGGUAGCAAACAGGAUUAGAUACCCUGGUAGUC
rnacentral:rRNA from 1 species